rnacentral:lncRNA from 1 species
UUUCCACACUUUGCACUCCACCCUCCUAAAGUAGACACCAGAAUACUCAUCCCCAGCCUUCCUCACAGCUAGGACACAGCUGCGUUCUAAGCUCCAAUAACGAGAGGCCACACGUGGAGAGCACAACAACAAACAGGCGCAUUCCAGUACCGGGAAGGUGCUAUUCAGUGGUACAGGACUCCAAGGGGCGGCUCAGUAAAGCAGAGGUCAGUGUCAUCUCUUGUUCCAUUGGUGCGCCAUUUGACCCUGCGAAGCGAUAAUUUCCUCAAUUGCACCCUAGUCUGAGUGUUAAUUCAGCUUCCAGAGAUUUCUGAUUUAAUGUCAAGAAGUAGAUUUUACCCUAUGAAACCUAGGUCUACAAAUUUUAUUUCCUUUAAAUGUCUAGAUUAAGAAAUCACAGCUUUCAAAGUGCAACUGCAAAUUAAUAGACGGAGGAGUCGUCAACCAUGAAUCGGCUGACCAAACUGCAUAUGUGUGAAGUUUUUUUCAGAUGCUAAGAAUCCUUUGACUCAGUUUCUGGGAAACUAGAAGCAAGGUUUGGUGAUCAAUUUCAGUAUUAACUAUCUCAGGAGGCUAGUUAUAUCUGCUUCUUUAUUCAUUUUAAUUUCAUUGGUCUUCUUUCAUUUUUAUUGCCUUGUUUCAUAACGUGGUUGGUUUUGUAAGCUGUAGCUGGUAGUUGCAAAUUUCUCCUCUCCACACUUAGAAGUGCAGAAAAAAUGCAUUUCUUUUGUGACUUUACUGACUAAUAAUAUCCCAUAUGAGGCUCACAUUUUGCAUGAGAUAAAGGGAAUUUAUUCAGUCCAAUGUGGAAAGUUUAAUAGUCCCUUUAAGUAGAAGUAGAUUCUGAGGUCCUCAUUUUUUCUGAUUUUCACAGCUCCUCUAUUUUUCUCCUUUCCCAGAAGCUACUGGGUG